AUUGAACGCUGGCGGCAGGCCUAACACAUGCAAGUCGAGCGAGCCGCGGACGUGUGAGUAAUGUAUGGGGAUUUGCCCGAUAGCUGGGGAUAACUACUGGAAACGGUGGCUAAUACCGCAAACUAUCGGAUGAAACCAUAUGGCAUUAGCUAGUAGGUAGGGUAAAGGCUCACCAAGGCGACGAUCUCUAGCUGGGCUGAGAGGAUGAACGGCCACACUGGGACUGAGACACGGCCCAGACUCCUACGGGAGGCAGCAGUGGGGAAUAUUGCACAAUGGGCGAAAGCCUGAUGCAGCCAUGCCGCGUGUAUGAAGAAGGCCUUAGGAUUGUAAAGUACUUUCAGCGGGGAGGCGGUACCCACAGAAGAAGCACCGGCUAACUCCGUGCCAGCAGCCGCGGUAAUAC
rnacentral:rRNA from 1 species